UUUAUGGAGAGUUUGAUCCUGGCUCAGGAUGAACGCUGGCGGCGUGCCUAAUACAUGCAAGUCGAGCGAACGGACGAGAAGCUUGCUUCUCUGAUGUUAGCGGCGGACGGGUGAGUAACACGUGGAUAACCUACCUAUAAGACUGGGAUAACUUCGGGAAACCGGAGCUAAUACCGGAUAAUAUUUUGAACCGCAUGGUUCAAAAGUGAAAGACGGUCUUGCUGUCACUUAUAGAUGGAUCCGCGCUGCAUUAGCUAGUUGGUAAGGUAACGGCUUACCAAGGCAACGAUGCAUAGCCGACCUGAGAGGGUGAUCGGCCACACUGGAACUGAGACACGGUCCAGACUCCUACGGGAGGCAGCAGUAGGGAAUCUUCCGCAAUGGGCGAAAGCCUGACGGAGCAACGCCGCGUGAGUGAUGAAGGUCUUCGGAUCGUAAAACUCUGUUAUUAGGGAAGAACAUAUGUGUAAGUAACUGUGCACAUCUUGACGGUACCUAAUCAGAAAGCCACGGCUAACUACGUGCCAGCAGCCGCGGUAAUACGUAGGUGGCAAGCGUUAUCCGGAAUUAUUGGGCGUAAAGCGCGCGUAGGCGGUUUUUUAAGUCUGAUGUGAAAGCCCACGGCUCAACCGUGGAGGGUCAUUGGAAACUGGAAAACUUGAGUGCAGAAGAGGAAAGUGGAAUUCCAUGUGUAGCGGUGAAAUGCGCAGAGAUAUGGAGGAACACCAGUGGCGAAGGCGACUUUCUGGUCUGUAACUGACGCUGAUGUGCGAAAGCGUGGGGAUCAAACAGGAUUAGAUACCCUGGUAGUCCACGCCGUAAACGAUGAGUGCU
rnacentral:rRNA from 1 species